GCGGGACUGCCCGGCACGAGCCGAUUGAACAUCCCUGAGGCUAUAAGUAAUCCAAAUGGGAGCUGUCCCUGCCCUUGCCUGCCGGUUCGUCCGGAAAGCUUGGGCAUACGGCGCCCACCUGACGUAAAACGCGUCAGAGGAUUUCUAGCGCAAACGACCCAUGGUGGUUCCGUC
rfam:Porphyrobacter sp. AAP60 AAP60_Contigs_2, whole genome shotgun sequence.